AUACGUAGGGGGCAAGCGUUAUCCGGAAUCACUGGGCGUAAAGGGUGCGUAGGCGGCCGAUAAAGUCUGGGGUGAAAGGCUACGGCUCAACCGUAGUAAGCCUUGGAAACUUAUUGGCUUGAGUGCAGGAGAGGAGAGUGGAAUUCCUAGUGUAGCGGUGAAAUGCGUAGAUAUUAGGAGGAACACCAGUGGCGAAGGCGACUCUCUGGACUGUAACUGACGCUGAGGCACGAAAGCGUGGGGAGCGAACAGGAUUAGAUACCCUGGUAGUCCACGCCGUAAACGAUGAGUGCUAGGUGUCGGGGGGUACCACCCUCGGUGCCGCAGCUAACGCAUUAAGCACUCCGCCUGGGGAGUACGGUCGCAAGACUGAA
rnacentral:rRNA from 1 species